GGAUCAGGUAGGGAUACCCGCUGAACUUAAGCAUAUCAAUAAGCCGGAGGAAUA
rnacentral:rRNA from 1 species